rnacentral:rRNA from 1 species
UACGUAGGGACCAAGCGUUGUUCGGAUUUACUGGGCGUAAAGGGCGCGUAGGCGGCAAUUCAAGUCAUCUGUGAAAUCUCCGGGCUUAACUCGGAACGGUCAGAUGAUACUGCUUUGCUAGAGUACAGAAGGGGCAAUCGGAAUUCUUGGUGUAGCGGUGAAAUGCGUAGAUAUCAAGAGGAACACCUGCGGCGAAGGCGGGUUGCUGGGCUGACACUGACGCUGAUGCGCGAAAGCUAGGGGAGCGAACGGG